rnacentral:rRNA from 1 species
CAGUAGCCGCGGUAAUACGAAGGGUGCAAGCGUUAAUCGGAGUUACUGGGCGUAAAGCGUGCGUAGGCGGCUUCUUAAGUCGGAUGUGAAAUCCCUGAGCUUAACUUAGGAAUUGCAUUCGAUACUGGGAAGCUAGAGUAUGGGAGAGGAUGGUAGAAUUCCAGGUGUAGCGGUGAAAUGCGUAGAGAUCUGGAGGAAUACCGAUGGCGAAGGCAGCCAUCUGGCCUAAUACUGACGCUGAGGUACGAAAGCAUGGGGAGCAAACAGGAUUAGAUACCCCAGUAGUCCCUGUCUCUUAUAC